UCUCAUUUAUAUUUUAUUUCUUGAAGGCGUUGACUGAGUCUUCCUCCGAUAUACAGAUUGCUCAGCUCUCCUCUGUCUGUCGAUAGUGACGACGUCUUGAUGGAAACUGCGUGCUCCAUCUUUUAUCUCAUCUCAGCCCAGGGGGCUAAAAGCCCAGCACAGCAACAACUAAGCAGCAACAAGACGAUGCCUGGACAUACCCAUGGCAUCAUCAUACAAAAUAUCCUUCAGGAAGUCAGGAACCGUCUCAUAGAGAUGAGUCCCAUGACCAAGAAUCUCUGAAUUUUGGAUUGUGAGACUUUUGAGAUUUUUUUUUUCUGCAUAUGCUUAUUUAUGUACAUAUCUAUCACAUGUAAUUUGGUUGUGUUUAAUUAAUCUUCAAAGAGGUUUUACCUGCAAUUGGAAAUGGUUUCUGCUAGUGCUUGGGACUA